CAGAGCUUAGCACAGUGCCUAGAACAUAGUAGGAGCUUAAUAAUGUUUAUUGAUUAAUUGGCUAACUACAGCACAGUGCAGAGAGUGUUGGGUUUAAAUGGAUACAGAAGCAAAUACUGGCUCUGCCAAUUGCCACCUAUGUGACCUUAGUUUCUCUGAAUUUAAAGUUGCUGCCCAGUUCUUCAAAUACACAUCAGGUCUCUGAGACAAUCAGGAACAUCGCACAGGUGACAGUAUUGUCCUUCAGGGAACCACCCACUCCAUGGUGGAAGAGGGACAUGGGGGAGAAGCCGCACAUAUAUGAAAGACCCUUUGUUACAAGGCAUGGGAUAAGUAGGGGAAAGGGGUAUUCAGAAAUAAAGACCAUGAGAUUAAGGUCUAAACUUCAAGCAAAUGAUAAGGAGUUUGAGGAGAUUAAACUCAUGAUCAAAGAGGAGGAAGACAUUGAAAAGUUUUUGUCCUGUGCCUAAAGUGAAGAUUUGAAGGUUCAUUGAUUUCUUCAUUACCUGCUGAUUUUUCACUA